rnacentral:lncRNA from 1 species
CCAGAGGUUAUCACAAAGUGUUUCCUGUAACUCCUCACACUACAUGGCAGCAGUGGCCCUCACACUUGGUAGCUGGAGGGGCUGUCAGCAGGCAGGUGCAGUGUAUUUUCCCUUCUGAUGUGUCAUGAUGCUGGGCUUGGUGUUAGCAUUUGGGCCACCAGUGACUGGUCAAUUUUAGCAAAAUUGUGACUUGAUUUUAGCAGAGGCAUGAUUUCUGCUGUGGACAGACUCUACCCUCUCCACAGCAAGACCUGCCACCACUAUGUACUUUAGCACUGAAGGGUAGGUCUACAGAGAGGCUUGUGCAGCCUUUAAAACCCAGGCCUGCUGCAAGGAGGCUCCUCACAUUCAGUGUAGGAUAGGAGAUAUCUAAAGAUAGGAGCUAGCUGAAUUAGCAAGCUUUUGUGAAAGGAUCAUGUGGAUUUCUUCUGAAGAGGGAAAUAGGGAACAAAAUGUUGUUGAGGCUUUGCAGGGGACUGACUGAUAGUGACCAAAGAUUGACACAGGCAAAGAGCAACCUGCAGUAGAUUACAGAAGGGAGUGAGCCUGGUUUGAGAAGAAAGGAGACAGCUGGUUUGUACUUUAUUAAGGUCAGAGAGAAAAAGAGAAGGGAUGCCCAAGUUCCCUCUCUGUGUGGCUUGGUGGGAGUCUGGUGGAGAGCAGGAACGUAUUUCCACUUACAAAGAACUCUUCUUCUAAACCAACAGAUCAGAAACACGUCACAAAGAUUCUUUGAGAGGCCUGUCUAUCCCUAGUUCUCUCCCUGCUCUGAAGACUUGCUGAGGAGAAGAGGAAGAAGUUGUUGCCACACUUUGAAGGCUGGAUGAGACUGUCUGACAGUGCCUAUUGACUGAAUGACCAUCAGAAAAAAAUGUACCACCUGAAGGCGCUGGCAAAGCUCAUCCCUUAGAGUUUUUUACAUGGUUCGUGCAAGUAUGUAAUUAGGAGAGCUGACUCCAAGCCGUAUGGAGGCUGCUUUAUAUACUAGCACCUGUAUCAGCCCCAUAAAACCCUCUAACUUGGUUUACUGCUCCUAAUUUUGUCCUACAUUGUUGUUGUUGUUGUUGUUAUUAUUAUUAUUAUUAAUAAUAAUGAAAGAAUUUCAAGUUCUUUUCAGUUUGCCUUCUCCUUCCAGUAACCAAAGACACAAGAACAUGAAAUUAUUCAAAGGCUCAAAGCAAAACAAUAAAAAG